AAACAAUCGAGUGCUGCUGUUUGACUGAGGAAGAAUAAAGUAGUCGUGGUAAAGCCCUCUAUAGGAGUUGUUAGAGUGAUGCAAGCAUCGGUGCAUGGCUUGGGAUGCCAGAGGGCUGCUACAUGUGGAAAAAAGAAAUGGCAACAACAGCAGGAAAUGACCAUCAAGCACAGCACUAGAGCGACCAUUCUGUAAUGAACCCAGCUGUCUACACUCACACACAGGAGGAUGAACGCAUUCACGUCCACAACCUGAGCAACUUUCCUCUUUGCCUAACGUGCAAGGAAAGGAGACCUCCUCAAACCACAAGUAUUGGUUGACUAUUAAAACCCAGAGGUGUGUAACAAACUAGGUUGGGGGUGGAAGGGUGGGUGGUAACGGCCCAUCUACAACCAGAACCCAAGAUAAAUACAAUUACGCCACUGCUCAGAUGCCCCAUAAACUAUUGGAAGUUGUGUGUGUGUGUGUGUGUGUGUGUGUGCGUGUGUGUGGGAGAGUGAAGGACAGACAGAGGAAGAGACAGACAAGCAGGCAUUUGAUUGUGGUG